rnacentral:rRNA from 1 species
UACGUAGGCAGCGAGCGUUGUUCGGAAUUACUGGGCGUAAAGAGUGUGUAGGCGGUGCUCUAAGUUCGGUGUGAAAUCUCCCGGCUUAACUGGGAGGGUGCGCCGGAAACUGGAGUGCUCGAACGUGGGAGAGGAAAGCGGAAUUCCUGGUGUAGCGGUGAAAUGCGUAGAUAUCAGGAGGAACACCUGCGGUGUAGACGGCUUUCUGGACCAUUGUUGACGCUGAGACACGAAAGCGUGGGUAGCAAACAGG